AGGGUAUUCAGGGACAAGAUGAUGACAACGCUGUGGUCUUUAUGUCACAUACACGGUGUUCUUGGGUCUCUUUAGAAAAGGAGAUGACCCCUUUUCUAACAGAAUGGAAAGUCCUGUUGUCCUUUCACAUAUCACCCACAGUCAGCGACAGAGGCUGUCCCCAACGCCAGGCCUUCAGAUCCCUUUCUCAGAAGCUUUAUCUCUCCUGCCAGUUGGGGGACUGUGGCUGGUUUUCUCCAUGAGACCUAUUCUGUAUUAAACAGGAAAGCACAAACAAGCACCAAUACCACUGCCCAGAACAGAGAAAAUUAUUUGAAUGCUUCCUGUUACAAUAGUGGCCACCACAGAGGAGUAAUCUUCAGUUUAUGAAAACUUUUUUCUGAGUCCAAGAGUGUGGCAAUCUGUGAGGUUUUCAUCCUGACUUUGUCUUUCCACCCUUUGCAUAUCAUCCUGGGACGGUAGGGACAUGUACUUCUGUUGUUUCCCAAUCUCACCACCAAGGGGCGCUCGCGAUGAAACAGUUCUGUCCUGGGAUGUACCACUGAAGUGUAGCGGUGGGACCACCCACUCUGGAAGGUACCAUUACGAGAGUGAGUGUGAAAAAACAGAGGGUGCUCUGACACUGCGUCGGGCAUCGACCACAGUUCCCAGCGGAGGCACUCAUAGCGCCAGUGGGUCCAACGGCAUUCGCUCCACUUCGUCUUCCCACUGCAUUUGAAUUAGAGUGGACACCGAUAUUAAGCUGCAACUUUGUCUCUUUUCCAACUCCACCCCUUCGUUUCUACAUGGUCUCAACGAACGUGGGGAUGGGUACAGAGCGACAGAUUGGCUGCAGCUUCGAGGGUACGGCGACCGGGAGAUUGCCUGAAUUAGCUCUUCCGGGGCGCGAGUACACGCGGAAGUCCGGCUACUCCCGCCCUCCUUCGUCUCCUGCUCAGUUCCCAUUGGCUGCCUGUCUUAGACAGGCACUGAGGUCGCGGAGCUGGAACUCUGGGCGAGAGGCGUGUGUAUACCAGUGCGCCUGCGUUCGCUUUCGCGGCUUUUCAGAGUGUGCACUUUUUCUCCGAGUUUUACCGCUUUUCCCGAAGGGGGUGAAUCGCUGCCUUGGUAUCUACCUGAACUGUUUGGAGUCGUUGUGUUAGAAAUAAAGCCUCUUGCGUUCUUGGCUGUGAGGUCUCUGUCCAGGAACUGAGGAUUUGGAAGCAGGCAGAUAUGAUUCCGAAGCCUGGAAGCUGACAUGCCGACUG
rnacentral:lncRNA from 1 species